GGCAAUUCUCGGGUGAUGCACCCUGGAAUCGGGCUCCCUCCUCUCUGGUUCUGGGUACAUCACCCAAGAACUGCA
rfam:Myotis brandtii contig304210, whole genome shotgun sequence.